GCACAAGCGGUGGAUCAUGUGUUUAAUUCGAUGAUACGCGAAGAACCUUACCAGGUCUUGACAUCCCCCGCGAUGCUUUAGAGAUAAAGCGGAGGUAUUCGGGGAGACAGGUGGUGCAUGGUUGUCGUCAGCUCGUGUCGUGAGAUGUUGGGUUAAGUCCCGCAACGAGCGCAACCCCUAUUGCUAGUUACCAUCAUUAAGUUGGGGACUCUAGCGAGACUGCCAGUGAUAAACUGGAGGAAGGUGGGGAUGACGUCAAAUCAUCAUGCCCCUUAUGACCUGGGCUACAAACGUGAUACAAUGGCUGGAACAAAGGGAUGCGAAGCAGUGAUGUGGAGCGAAACCCAUAAAAACAGUCUCAGUUCGGAUUGAAGUCUGCAACUCGACUUCAUGAAGUCGGAAUCGCUAGUAAUCGCGGAUCAGAACGCCGCGGUGAAUACGUUCUCGGGGUUU
rnacentral:rRNA from 1 species